GGUCGCUGCUCAGGGAAAUGCGGAGGCCAGUAGGCUUACGUGUUUACCGCGUAGGGCAAAGCCUUGCCAAAUUCCCGGCCAGCGGAGCGGCGAGGGUGGGGACUCACGGGAAGUUAAACAGCCUCGUCGGCGUCCUCGAGGCUCCAAAACCAGGCUCUAGGCGGGGACGACUGCAGCCGUUAUGGAGGCCACCGCGGCUACGGCCGCGGCUGAGGCCUCCCCAGGUGGAGCGGUGGCCUGGAGGGGAAUCUUGAUCCUGGGCCAGCCACCUGUCAAGAGGAGGCGGAGCGUCAUGCCUCUGGAAGACUGGAUGAAUAUUCUCCAGGAGCCUGACGAAGGCGAAGAAGUCUUUGCAGAGGAAAUUGAAUGCUGUCUGAUGCUACAAUUCAUAUGGAUCCUUUCCUGGAUUGAAGCCUGACUUUUAAAAAAGGUUUCAAUAAAUUGCUUAUACCUAUGAAGAGAUGCAAAAGAACCUUCAAAAUAAAGCAAAGGACUUGAAGAAAGAGAAGGAAGACAUGAAGAAGAGGAUGUCAUUUAGGUGAAGGGCCAUGCUGGAUAAGGAGCUGGCUGCCUCUGUGAACAUCCUACUCAAGGCAUCUUCACUGCUGUACAUCCUUUUGAAAUCCCAGAGAUCUUCAGUCUCCCUGUGGAUUAAGGAGAUGUGCAGUAUUUAAAGUGGCUUCAGGAAGGCAUGGAAGAGGACUGAGUGGGGAAAGCUUUUUGUGCAUGCUGCUGGCUACCUCCAGCGGCUGCCUCCAGCCUCCAUCAGCUGCACUCUGGGGAAGAGGAGGCUGCCUUCUACCUCCCAGCAUCUCUGGAUUUCAUGUUCCUGUCAGCACAGAGGAGCUAAAUGGCCUGUAGAGGCUGAAGGUCUGAGGCUCCUAAAGCUGGAAGAAAAGGCUGGGCCAGUCAGGCCAAGCAAGAACACAGUGUAACUUGUCUCUGAGUGCUUCAUGGUUAAGGGGGCUAAGCAGGCACAAGGGCAUGAGGAUGGUUAUAUGUACAGACUGAGGGGAAGAAGCAGUGAAGAUGAGACUUGCCAUCUUCUUGAGUCAGUAGGCCUGCCUCAGGUGCCUAGGAUGUAAUUGCUCUGCUGCUUCUCAUGGGGAGGAGUGGCCCUCAUGACCUUGUUUACCUGGAAGAGUGUGGGAUGAAUGCCUCCUCCUAUGGGGACUCGCAAGUGCUUUAGCAAAAGGAUAAAUUGCUAAUUGUGGCAUUUCGUGGAUCAGCAGGAUUAUUUCUCCUUGCUAAAGAGGAUUUUGUUGGUCCUGAAUUCUGAGGAGGUGGGACUAGGAAUGGGCUCCAUGAGCCUGUGUAUGACUCAGGGAAUAUUAGGACUUUGGCACAGCCUCAUGGGUUGGGAGUAAGUCUUGGCUCUUCCCUAGCCUGAAUGACAGACAUCAGAUCAUUCUGGUGCUUUGUCCAUGAAGAUGUAGAUUCUGAGCCCACCCAACUAAUCUUUUCACUUGAGCACAGAAACAGCCCCGGGAAUCGGACAGACCCGUGUCUUUCAGGUUUGCUUCACAGAGCCCCAGGGGUUGACAAUAGGUGCCUUGGAGACUGCCUGCAUGGGGAUUUUUAAAAAGCUUUCUUUGUUAAAGGUUUGUAAACCACUCCUCUGAGCCUGUUUUCAUUUUAUAGAUUAUUCAGGGAACUGAACUGCACAGAGAUCCAGAAAGUGGGUAGUGCAGGCUGUAGUGCUGAUAACUACUGUACUACUUGGAUCUUUGUGCUCCCAAAUACCAAAUGGAAGAGGAUCUCUGAGAGUCCUUUGCAAAGAUCUUGUAGGGACUUUAGGCUGGGGCCUUCGGAAAAUUCCAGAGGAUUCCAAUGGAGAUUUUGAGGGACUGACUCAGAAGAACAAAGAGAAUGAUAAUGGUGAUGUCCCUGCUUUUUACAACAGAUCAUGUUCUGAUAUAUAUGCAAAUCUGUGUAAAGUAAACCCUACCUAAAAUGUACUGGGGACCCAA
rnacentral:lncRNA from 1 species